GACGUAGGGUGCGAGCGUUGUCCGGAUUUAUUGGGCGUAAAGAGCUCGUAGGCGGCCUGUCGCGUCAGCUGUGAAAACCCGCGGCUUAACCGUGGGCUUGCAGCUGAUACGGGCAGGCUAGAGUUCGGUAGGGGAGACUGGAAUUCCUGGUGUAGCGGUGAAAUGCGCAGAUAUCAGGAGGAACACCGGUGGCGAAGGCGGGUCUCUGGGCCGGUACUGACGCUGAGGAACGAAAGCCAGGGGAGCAAACGGG
rnacentral:rRNA from 1 species